GAACGCUAGCGGCAGGCUUAACACAUGCAAGUCGAGGGGUAUAGUUCUUCGGAACUAGAGACCGGCGCACGGGUGCGUAACGCGUAUGCAAUCUACCUUUUACAGAGGGAUAGCCCAGAGAAAUUUGGAUUAAUACCUCAUAGUAUGUGAGAAUCGCAUGAUUUUCACAUUAAAGUUCCAACGGUAAAAGAUGAGCAUGCGUCCCAUUAGCUAGAUGGUAAGGUAACGGCUUACCAUGGCGACGAUGGGUAGGGGUCCUGAGAGGGAGAUCCCCCACACUGGUACUGAGACACGGACCAGACUCCUACGGGAGGCAGCAGUGAGGAAUAUUGGACAAUGGGCGCAAGCCUGAUCCAGCCAUGCCGCGUGCAGGAUGACGGUCCUAUGGAUUGUAAACUGCUUUUGUACAGGAAGAAACACUCCCUCGUGAGGGAGCUUGACGGUACUGUAAGAAUAAGGAUCGGCUAACUCCGUG
rnacentral:rRNA from 1 species